CCGAGUGUAGCUCAAUUUGUAGAGCGAUAGACUGUAGUGUUCUAUACUGUGUUUCAGGUAUUCUCGGAAAUCAAUUGGGCGCUGGUUCAAUUCUCGCCCACUCGGA